AAUUUGAUUAACGCGGAAGAACCUUUUCCUACUUUUCAUCCCCGAACUUCAAAUUCGUGGGGUCCCCGUCCGGGAACGGGGAACAGGUGCUGCAUGGCUGUCGUCAGCUCGUGCCGUAAGAUUUUGGUUUAAGUCCCGCAAGAGCCCAACCCUUCCUUAUUCCCACCGGUUUGCUGGGCCUCUAAGGGGCUGCCGGUACAACCGAAGGAAGGUGGGGAGACGUCAAGUCAUCAUGGCCCUUAUGCUAGGGCUCACCGUCUACAAUGGCCCGUACAAAGGGUUGCGAACCCGCGAGGGGAGCCAAUCCCACAAACCGAAUCGUAGUCCGGAUGGCAGUUGCAACUCGACUCAUGAAUUCGGAAUC
rnacentral:rRNA from 1 species